AGUCGAGGGGUAUAUGUCUUCGGAUAUAGAGACCGGCGCACGGGUGCGUAACGCGUAUGCAAUCUACCUUUCACAGAGGGAUAGCCCAGAGAAAUUUGGAUUAAUACCUCAUAGUAUUAUUGAGUGGCAUCACUUAGUAAUUAAAGUCACAACGGUGAAAGAUGAGCAUGCGUCCCAUUAGCUAGUUGGUAAGGUAACGGCUUACCAAGGCAACGAUGGGUAGGGGUCCUGAGAGGGAGAUCCCCCACACUGGUACUGAGACACGGACCAGACUCCUACGGGAGGCAGCAGUGAGGAAUAUUGGACAAUGGGCGCAAGCCUGAUCCAGCCAUGCCGCGUGCAGGAUGACGGUCCUAUGGAUUGUAAACUGCUUUUGUACGAGAAGAAACACUGCUUCGUGAAGCAGCUUGACGGUAUCGUAAGAAUAAGGAUCGGCUAACUCCGUGCCAGCAGCCGCGGUAAUACGGAGGAUCCAAGCGUUAUCCGGAAUCAUUGGGUUUAAAGGGUCCGUAGGCGGUUUAGUAAGUCAGUGGUGAAAGCCCAUCGCUCAACGGUGGAACGGCCAUUGAUACUGCUGAACUUGAAUUAUUAGGAAGUAACUAGAAUAUGUAGUGUAGCGGUGAAAUGCUUAGAGAUUACAUGGGAAUACCAAUUGCGAAAGGCAGGUUACUACUAAUUGAUUGACGCUGAUGG
rnacentral:rRNA from 1 species